rnacentral:rRNA from 1 species
AGGAUGAACGCUGGCGGCGUGCCUCAUGCAUGCAAGUCGAACGGGAACACUUUUAGUAGCAAUACCGAGGGUGUUCUAGUGGCGAUCGGGUGAGUAACGCGUAGGUGACCUGCCCCGAAGUGGGGGAUAACUGCCCGAAAGGGUGGCUAAUACCGCAUGUGGCGACACUUUCAUUGGUGUCAUCAAAGCCGCGAGGCGCUUCGGGAGGGGCCUGCGUCCGAUUAGCUCGUUGGUGGGGUAAUGGCUCACCAAGGCGACGAUCGGUAGGUGGUCUGAGAGGACGAUCACCCAGACUGGGACUGAGACACGGCCCAGACACCUACGGGUGGCAGCAGUCGAGAAUUUUUCACAAUGGGCGAAAGCCUGAUGGAGCGACGCCGCGUGGAGGAUGAAGGCUUUCGGGUUGUAAACUCCUGUCAAGUGAGAACAAGAAAGUGAUAGUAUCACUAGAGGAAGGGACGGCUAACUCUGUGCCAGCAGCCGCGGUAAUACGUAGGGAGCGAGCGUUGUCCGGAAUCAUUGGGCGUAAAGCGCGUGUAGGCGGCCUAAACAGUCUGGUGUGAAAUCUUUCGGCUCAACCGGAAGCGGUCACUGGAUACUAUUAGGCUUGAGUCUGGAAGAGGAGAGUGGAAUUCCUGGUGUAGCGGUGGAAUGCGCAGAUAUCAGGAGGAACACCUAUGGCGAAGGCAGCUCUCUGGUACAUGACUGACGCUGAGACGCGAAAGCGUGGGUAGCAAACAGGAUUAGAUACUCUGGUAGUCCACGCCGUAAACGAUGGACGCUAGGUGUGGGCGGUGUCGACUCCGUCCGUGCCGCAGCUAACGCAUUAAGCGUCCCGCCUGGGGAGUACGGCCGCAA